UGGUGGGAACGGCAUGGGUGUGGACAUAUUUAUUUAGAGAAAAUGUAGAAUAAUAUAAAUUUUGUCUAUGAUUUGAAUUAGAAGAUAUAUACUACUUUGGUUUUAUUUUACAUGUGUUUUGUGAAAAUUUGCAAUUGAGGUUAGAAAAUUUUAUUUAUGUAAAAGCAGUGGUUUCAUAUAAUAAUGAACAAUCGAAUAAACAGAAGAACAAAAAAUUCUGAUGAAGAUGAAUCAAUAAAAACCAUUAAGCUCUGGUUAGUAAGAGCCAAGGAUCGAUUAAAAAACAAUCUGGAAAAGAAACAGAGAAUAAACAAUCAACAUGAGCAGACAGAAGUGGAAUUAAAUAAUUAAUAACAAAUGUUUUAAAUUUUGUUUUUUUAUGUAAAUUUUAUAUAAAUUUUUUUGUUUUAUAAUA